UGUAGCCAUGACAUCAGGUCUCCUUUCUUUGAAAUGCCUCUGCUAAUGCAAAACAAAACAAAUGUUGUGAAUAUUUGUGUAGCUGUAGGAAGCCACAGGAAGUUCCCAGCCAGGCGAGCGGCCCUUUGGCGGAGGAUGGCGGAGCUGGGACAGGUGCAGAUUAAUCAAUCACUCCGUCUAUCUCCCGUAUAAAGGAAAUAGUUUACAUUCCGAAGAAAAUUGCCUGCUUUCCAGCAGUUAAUAGUUAACUCUAGAAGAGAAAGUUCCCAGGGAAGUGCAGCGAGACAGAAGCGACUCUCCCCUGCAAAGUCCUUGAGAACGGCGAGAGAGCAGAGAACAGAAAGAGAGAUGCAGCGACAAGCAACAUUAAAACAACAGAUAACAGGGAAAUGAACCCCCCACCUAUUGCAAGAGAAUUAAAGGAAAAAAGCUUGAAAAUGUAACCCAAAAUGGAACCUAAAAUCUCAAAAACCAGAAGGAUCUACCGCCAGAGGCACAGAACUGCUGGCUGCCAAGGGGCACAUCUGAUGCUUCCCUCCUCCAGUUUUUGAUGAUUUAUACUGAACAAAGAAGUCCUGAAGGUGCAGACGUCUGGUUCUGCUGGAGGACUACUUGGGAUCUCACCAGUGUUUUGGUGACCUCUAGUAGCCUGACUUGGAAACACCGGGAGUGUUGAAUGUUUAACAAAGAUGUCCUUUUUUGCACAUGCUCAAUAGAUAUCAGAGUUCAAUAGGUGUUCACAAAACCCAAGAAUUUUACAUAGUCUGAGGAAAAAUCCUUCUCCCUCUCAGCUUUUAGUUUCCUGUGAUGCCAUUGUCUCACUAGUUCUCUAGAAGACAUAGACUCUCCCAGGGUAUUGGAGACCUGCUUUAUUAAUGAAUUGCAAAACAAGACAAGCCCCAAGAUGAUUUAUUUAUUUGUGGUAAAAAAGCUUCCAGGCCAUCUUUAUCCAGCCUAGAGAAAGCAAAAGCACUUCAAUCAGGAAUGCAUCUGCUAUGGCUGGGUCCUCGCAGAGCAUGGCAAGAUGUUGCAGGGAAUCCUUGUCUUUAAUGGCCCUUGGUGGCCAAGUCCUUGGCCCCACCAUUGCAUGUCUCUGAUGGGUCUUCUGUGGCCUGGGCCUCUGGGUAGGUCACUUACAAGUUCAGUCCCCUGGGGGGUAAUAAAGGUCCCACUGUUAGUUCAAAAUCAAUCUCUAAGCUAAUAAUUUCUCCUGCCCCUCUCGGGCUGCUCUAAACAGGGCCACCCAGAGGAUUCAAGGGCCUGGGGGAAAGC